rnacentral:rRNA from 1 species
AUUGAACGCUGGCGGCAUGCUUUACACAUGCAAGUCGAACGGUAACAGGCCGCAAGGUGCUGACGAGUGGCGAACGGGUGAGUAAUGCAUCGGAACGUGCCCAGACGUGGGGGAUAACUACUCGAAAGAGUAGCUAAUACAGCAUACGAUCUAUGGAUGAAAGCGGGGGACCGCAAGGCCUCGUGCGAUUGGAGCGGCUGAUGUCAGAUUAGGUAGUUGGUGGGGUAAAGGCUCACCAAGCCAACGAUCUGUAGCUGGUCUGAGAGGACGACCAGCCACACUGGGACUGAGACACGGCCCAGACUCCUACGGGAGGCAGCAGUGGGGAAUUUUGGACAAUGGGCGCAAGCCUGAUCCAGCAAUGCCGCGUGCAUGAAGAAGGCCUUCGGGUUGUAAACUGCUUUUGUACGGAACGAAACGGCUCUGGUUAAUACCCGGGGCUAAUGACGGUACCGUAAGAAUAAGCACCGGCUAACUACGUG